AACGCACCUUGCGCCUUUUGGUAUUCCAAAAGGCACACCUGUUUGAGUGUCAUGAAACCCUCUCACAAAAGAAUUUUUAUUAAUUCUUUUAGUGGAUGUUGAGUGUUGCCGUCAUUGGCUCACUUUAAAUUAAUGUGUCUAUUUAAUUAAAUUGGAUUGACUUGGUGUAAUAUUUUUAAAAAACAUCAAGGAAAGUAGCAAUACUGCCAAAUUGAUUAAAGAAGGCUUCUAAAAAACACACAAUUAUUUUUUAAGACCUCAAAUCAGGUGGGACUACCCGCUGAACUUAA
rnacentral:misc_RNA from 1 species